UACGAAGGGUGCAAACGUUGCUCGGAAUUAUUGGGCGUAAAGCGCACGUAGGCGGCCCAGCAAGUCGGAAGUGAAAUCCCACGGCUCAACCAUGGAAGUGCUUUCGAAACUGCUGGGCUUGAGUACAAAAGAGGAUCGCGGAAUUCCCGGUGUAGAGGUGGAAAUUCGUAGAUAAUCGGGAGGAACACCAGUGGCGAAGGC
rnacentral:rRNA from 1 species